UGAGGUAGUUAUAAAUGAAGUGAUGACCAUGCAACAUUCUGUUCAUUUUUUCUACCUCACC
rnacentral:pre_miRNA from 1 species